AUGCUCCAGUUGUUGGAAAAGAUCACCCGUCUUGCCGAUUCUGAGACUCGGAAGAUGGAAGGGUCUGAAGCAAAGGGCAUAAUCCGGCCAGCGAGAGCCGGCGACGAGGGCAAAUUGGUGCUGAUGCACAGCAAUAUUGGCGGCGGUGGCAGCUUCAAAUAUGGUGUACUCGCGGGGCAGUUCGAUGACCUGUGGGACGACAUGCGCCAGCUAGCGUCAACAGAAUCGAAAUUUCUAGCGAUAUGCAUGUUUUCCUGUGAGUCCUUCGUACGCUGCUGCUCCACAUUGAAGUUCAUCUCUGCAGUUAUCAACAGGCUUGGUGAUUGGGUCCCAGAAUUGUCAGUGGCAAUGAAAUCUAUAAAGGAAGAUGUCCCCAAAGAGGCGGUGGAUGUGGAUGAAGAUGGGGAUGUGGAUGAGGAUGGAGAUGUGGACGAGUAUGAGGAGGAGAAGAAGGCCGAGGAGUAUUAUUUCGCUGCCCAUCGUAGACGCUGGGAAAAUAUAUACAGCAAGGGUCGCAGCUUUGAAGAUCCAACAAUAUUCAGCUCCAUGCACUUCACCCACUACAUGCCAGGCCACUCUGGCCAAACUCCAAUGGGUGCUAGAUUCUUGAGUACCAUGCAGAUCUACUCCAUCAAUGUCACAGAAACCGAAGGCUUCGCCCUCGAGUGGCCUCUGGAGGUAUACGGCGUGGUCGCUGCCCGAGACAUGGUGGACUACCGUCGCAACCUUCUCUUCCUUCGCACUAGGGAUGACUGCCAAAUCCUUACGAAAGAGAAUCCCUUUUUGCACUUGACUGGCCCGUCUCGUGCAAUUAUGUCUGGGGACACUGUUACAAUUGAAGCUGAUCUAAAGCUAAAGGGCACAGUAAGGUCCAAAGAUAGAAGUACUGAUCAGUAA
rnacentral:rRNA from 1 species